CCUACGGGGGGCAGCAGUGGGGAAUAUUGGACAAUGGGGGGAACCCUGAUCCAGCCAUGCCGCGUGUGUGAAGAAGGCCCUCGGGUUGUAAAGCACUUUCAGUGAGGAAGAACGCCUGGUGGUUAAUACCCAGCAGGAAAGACAUCACUCACAGAAGAAGCACCGGCUAACUCCGUGCCAGCAGCCGCGGUAAUACGGAGGGUGCGAGCGUUAAUCGGAAUUACUGGGCGUAAAGCGCGCGUAGGUGGCUUGAUAAGCCGGUUGUGAAAGCCCCGGGCUCAACCUGGGAACGGCAUCCGGAACUGUCAAGCUAGAGUGCAGGAGAGGAAGGUAGAAUUCCCGGUGUAGCGGUGAAAUGCGCAGAGAUCGGGAGGAAUACCAGUGGCGAAGGCGGCCUUCUGGACUGACACUGACACUGAGGUGCGAAAGCGUGGGUAGCAAACAGGAUUAGAUACCCCGGUAGUC
rnacentral:rRNA from 1 species